GCCAGCAUGGCAUAGUGGUUAGAUUGUUGGAUUACAACUCCAAAGACCCUGGGUUCGAUUCCAGGCUCAACCA